rnacentral:misc_RNA from 1 species
AUUCGUUGCAUAAUUUCAUUGAAGAGAAUGUUGUUAUUGUUGGUGUUUCUUCUGGCUCUCCUCUUUCGCCGAAGCUCAAUCUUCCUCCUCAUCGGAAGGGUGAUCCUGUGGGAACAACUAAUGAUUCUGCAAUUGAAGAUUCUGCUUCUCCUCCUCAUCAUCUCUCUCACUCUAAUUCCGGUUCCCACCUCCAUUUUCACUCUGAUACUGAUGAUGAAUCCGG